GGAGUUAGCCGGUGCUUCUUCUGCGAGUAACGUCACAGAUGUAAGGUAUUAACUUACACCCUUUCCUCCUCGCUGAAAGUGCUUUACAACCCGAAGGCCUUCUUCACACACGCGGCAUGGCUGCAUCAGGGUUUCCCCCAUUGUGCAAUAUUCCCCACUGCUGCCUCCCGUAGGAGUCUGGGCCGUGUCUCAGUCCCAGUGUGGCUGAUCAUCCUCUCAGACCAGCUAGGGAUCGUCGCCUAGGUGAGCCUUUACCUCACCUACUAGCUAAUCCCACCUGGGCUUAUCCAUCAGCGCAAGGCCCGAAGGUCCCCUGCUUUCCCCCGUAGGGCGUAUGCGGUAUUAGCAGUCGUUUCCAACUGUUAUCCCCACAAAUGGGCAAAUUCCCAGGCAUUACUCACCCGUCCGCCGCUCGUCAUCUUCAAAAGCAAGCUUUUGAAAUGUUACCGNUCGACUUGCAUGUGUUAGGCCUGCCGCCAGCGUUCAAUCUGAGCCAGAAUCAAACUCUGA
rnacentral:rRNA from 1 species